UCCAGUAAAGUGCUGAGAAUAUAGCUUAAAGUUUGACAUCAGUUCACUUACAGAAAUAUUAAUUGCAUCAAAUAUAAAUUAAUUUUCUGAGUGGCGUAAAGUUAAGUGGAAACGUUAAAUAAGGAAAAAAUACUUUCUGUUUUCUUACAAAAUUGGAGCAGAAAUGUCGCAAUUUAAAUACGAAAAUCCGUCUUAUUCUAAUUACACUAUUGGGUCACUCAUAUCCACCUAAAUUCCUGGGUACAAAAUUUGCUAGAACUUUUCAACAAUCUUAUUCUCUCGAGCUUCAACAGAUCCAUGACUGGCCCAUUCCCCCAACCGGAAAUUUACACACUGAAAAAGGCAGGAAAUGACUUCAACAGCGCAUCACUUUAGUUAUGGACUACCCUCCGUGAAGACCUCCAAUUCAUAAUUCGCAUCGUCCUCCUGUAACAAGUAAUGUAUCAUCUUCUAAUUCGAGUUAAAUAGGUUUAUCCACCUCAAAAAUAGAAAUUUGCAGGGAUCUCUUUAUCCCAAAAAUUAGGGAUGACGACUUACAUAAAUUACAGAAUGAGCUUUUAAUUAUGACAAUUUUUCUAAGGUAUUUGCAAUUUUCCUGCGAAAUCUUGAUACCUAAUUAAAUUAGAUAUAAGUUUACAUAUGUAUAUCUCGUCCAACUUCUGCAGCCAAAGUAGCAACCCAAACGCACCUGAAAGUAUUAACAUUAAUUAUGUGAUCAGAUUUUGCUAAAUUUUUAAAUCGAUUCGUUAAAUGGGCUAGAAUUAGCAAAAUCUCAUGAUCGUGCGAUUUUUACCUACACAAAUACACAGAAACUUCGCCAAAACAAACAUUCAAAACGUUAUAAUUUUCUCCGAAAAGAACAUUAAGUCGAAAGUAAUAUGAAAUGCAUGAACUUAGGAGGAGAGCUUCACCACCUGCCCUUCACAGAUCUUGAUGUCCUUCGCAUAUGUGAUAGG